rnacentral:rRNA from 1 species
ACGCUGCGACGGCCUAACACAUGCAAGUCGAGGGGUAACAUGAGAGCUUGCUCUUGAUGACGACCGGCGCACGGGUGAGUAACGCGUAUGCAACCUGCCUAUAACCGUGGGAUAGCACUUCGAAAGGAGUAUUAAUACCACAUAACACUGUUUAAUUGCCUGAUUAGACAUUUAAAUUUCCGGAGGUUAUAGAUGGGCAUGCGUGACAUUAGCCAGUUGGCGGGGUAACGGCCCACCAAAGCAACGAUGUCUAGGGGUUCUGAGAGGAAGGUCCCCCACACUGGUACUGAGACACGGACCAGACUCCUACGGGAGGCAGCAGUGAGGAAUAUUGGUCAAUGGACGCAAGUCUGAACCAGCCAUGUCGCGUGCAGGAAGACUGCCCUAUGGGUUGUAAACUGCUUUUCUACGAGAAGAAAGUUAUCUACGUGUAGAUAAUUGCCGGUAUCGUAAGAACAAGGAUCGGCUAACUCCGUGCCAGCAGCCGCGGUAAUACGGAGGAUCCGAGCGUUAUCCGGAUUUAUUGGGUUUAAAGGGUACGUAGGCGGAAUAGUAAGUCAGCGGUGAAAUCCUGCAGCUCAACUGUAGAGUUGCCGUUGAUACUGUUAUUCUUGAGAGUAGAUGAGGUAGGCGGAAAUGUGGUGUGUAGCGGUGAAAUGCAUAGAUAUACCACAGNAACACCGAUUGCGAAGGCAGCUUACUAAACUACAACUGGACGCUGANGGUACGAAAGCGUGGGUAUCAAACAGGAUUAGAUACCCUGGUAGUCCACGCCGUAAACUAUGAUUNACUGGUUGUUUGCAAUACAUG